CACACACACACACACACACACACACACACACGCACACACCAUUCAGAAGCUACAGAUUUGGUUGUCAGGCUCUUUGGUGAAAAUGGAGAAUAUGGGAUCAUAUAUUAGCCAUCUUUGCAUGAUUAUAAUGAUAUACUAGACACUGACCACCUGUAAAGCAAAAAGACAUUUGUUUAGGUCAGAGUCCAUGAUCACAUAUGCUCCAUUCGAUUGACCUAUAAAGACAGAAGAGGAUGGUAACAUGCUGUGGUAGGACUGUGUAUUGGGAUGAACGGCCAUAUCAAGCCACAUAAGGAGACUGAGUGAACACAAUAGUACCAUACGAGGGACCAAACCCUUAACAUUUGGUGGACACAACCCAUAUUCAAACCAUGCCAACUCAUGAGAACAUGUUCUGACUGUUACUCAGCAUGAUCAGCUAUUGUCUUAAAAGAAAUCUACUGGAUUCCUUCUCCCUCUUUCUUCCAUCUAGAGAAUCAAGGCUCUGUGUUCAUUCUCUGGUACACCUUAGAAAGCUCUCCUUCACAUGAACAUGUGAGCAAUCUUUUUUUUUUUCAAAACCAUUGCCAGAGGGCUGCCCAUUGUGUUGUGGCUGCAGCCAUUGUGCUAACACUUACUAUACACACUGACUUAUGCUGCCCUUUGCUGAGAGACACACAGACCACUCUAGCAUGUUUGCUUUCAUAGCUCAGGAGAGAGAAUGAUGUUAGAGAUCUCUUUAUUCACUAAGCCCAGAGGAGGAUGGUGGGGAAGUUAGGAUGUUUACGUAGUUUGAAGGAGAGGCGACUCCUUCUUAGGGAAGUAAGAGUUUGGGAUUCCUGACUCAUGCAUAAUUUGGUGAAGCAACUAAGCAAAGAUGGCAUUAUAGGACUUUGAAUGUUUCCUAUUUAUGUUUCCUAGGUUCAUUGUCAGUUUUUUAGAGAGCUAUUUGGAAAAUAAUUUUAAAACAAUCAUGCGACCAUUUGAAGAUAAGCAGUUAAGCAAUCAAUGAUGUUUUUCAAGGACACAGACAUUUUAUCAAUCUAAGAUUCUUAAAAAUGUAAUGAGUCCACAAGUGAAUAUAAAAGAGAAUUUCUUCAAACCUGUGGGUAUACAUGUUUUUACAUUAUUUGAAGAAAUAAAAUCUUAUGGCUUUCUUCCCUUUUCUAAAGAUGUGGAAUGUAUCAAUAUGCCCUUAAGUGAUGAAUAAAAUAAUAAAGCUCUCUAUAAUUUAACAAGAUUCAAAAAGGAUUUGAAAAUCACCCACAAUAUAUCAUGUUAUGAAAAUCAGAUCGUAAUAAAACCAAAACAUAGUCAUAAAUCAAUAACCAGUGUUUGUAAAAGGCAUUCAUCAUGGGCAAGGCAGGAUUGGAGAGGUGUGAGUUACUGUGGUUCUCUGGUGUCCACAUCUCUUCUCUCCUUCUGUUCAUCCGGUCCUCAUUUUCUGGUACCCUCUUGUUUCCUUUGUAUGUAUGAUGUUGCUUCUGCUCUUCUAUGUCGGGCUGUCUAGUGUCUGGUGCUAGCAUUGACAUAGUACUUACCAGUUGUAGCUAUUUAACUGACUCCUUACUCUGUGUGGGCGCUGUGUGGCAGGAGCUCUCUCCUGGACCUCAGCCAUGGCUGUCUGUGGGAAAGACUAUGCAGGUCUACUCCAGGUAAUAGGUAAUUAUGAAGCACUUCCUCAAAUCUAACAUGUAUGAAAUUUUUUUCUACAAAAGCUUGAAGUGAAUAAAAGGUAAAUUUUGUCUUUGUUGCGGUCACCACCAGCUUUGUGUGUGAUACUAACGCCACUUGCUGCUGAAUACUAUAUGGUUCAAGGCUCAAUUAUGCUUCCCUAUGGAUAUUUUCCCUUACAGUGCUUCACCCUGUAGGCCUUGUUUCUGUGACUCAUUGGAGUCUCCUGUCCUGGCAUUGAAUAUAAACACUUCAAUCUAAUUGCUCUCAUGACAGAUUCUGCCUUCAGCUUAUUAUAAACUUUGUGAAUGGGGAUAAUUUUUCUCAUUUUUACUCUAUCUUGGAGGCCCAAAGUUUAAAUAAAAGCCUAUUUAAACUGUGUGUUUAAGAUCAAAUACUAGUCUCCACGUGCUAGAAGGUAUUUUUACUUUCAGCUGAGAUUUCCUCAAGGGUUUUCCUGCAGCUGGCAUUGUGGGCUCAGUCCCAGGUUAGCGUGUAAUCAACUCUGAUAAUGAAUCGGGGACACCUAGGAUCAGUCAGAUCAUAGUCUUCAGUAAUGUGUUACUAAAAUGACUUCUUCCACUAAAGUGGGUGGGAGUAACUCUUUAGGCACCUCUUGAAAACAAACAAACAAACAAAC
rnacentral:lncRNA from 1 species